rnacentral:rRNA from 1 species
GACGUAGGGCGCGAGCGUUGUCCGGAUUUAUUGGGCGUAAAGAGCUCGUAGGCGGCUUGUCGCGUCGUCCGUGAAAACCCGGGGCUCAACCCCGGGCCUGCAUUCGAUACGGGCAGACUAGAGUUCGGUAGGGGAGUCUGGAAUUCCUGGUGUAGCGGUGAAAUGCGCAGAUAUCAGGAGGAACACCGGUGGCGAAGGCGGGACUCUGGGCCGAUACUGACGCUGAGGAGCGAAAGCGUGGGGAGCGAACAGG